UGGGGAAUAUUGCACAAUGGGCGCAAGCCUGAUGCAGCCAUGCCGCGUGUAUGAAGAAGGCCUUCGGGUUUUAAAGUACUUUCAGCGGGGAGGAAGGGAGUAAAGUUAAUACCUUUGCUCAUUGACGUUACCCGCAGAAGAAGCACCGGCUAACUCCGUGCCAGCAGCCGCGGUAAUACGGAGGGUGCAAGCGUUAAUCGGAAUUACUGGGCGUAAAGCGCACGCAGGCGGUUUGUUAAGUCAGAUGUGAAAUCCCCGGGCUCAACCUGGGAACUGCAUCUGAUACUGGCAAGCUUGAGUCUCGUAGAGGGGGGUAGAAUUCCAGGUGUAGCGGUGAAAUGCGUAGAGAUCUGGAGGAAUACCGGUGGCGAAGGCGGCCCCCUGGACGAAGACUGACGCUCAGGUGCGAAAGCGUGGGGAGCAAACAGG
rnacentral:rRNA from 1 species